UUAUGUACAUGCCUACAAUGUUAAUGCAUUAGAUCCCAUAGAACUCUGCAGUUGAGUGCGCUUGGGAUAGAGUAGUACUAGUAGGGGUGACCUCCCGAGAAGUCCUAGUGUUUUGCAUUAU
rfam:Picea glauca, whole genome shotgun sequence.